rnacentral:rRNA from 1 species
AUUGCCCUAGUAACGGCGAGUGAAGCGGCAACAGCUCAAAUUUGAAAUCUGGCUUUCGGGCCCGAGUUGUAAUUUGUAGAGGAUACUUUUGAUGCGGUGCCUUCCGAGUUCCCUGGAACGGGACGCCAUAGAGGGUGAGAGCCCCGUCUGGUUGGAUGCCAAAUCUCUGUAAAGUUCCUUCGACGAGUCGAGUAGUUUGGGAAUGCUGCUCUAAAUGGGAGGUAUAUGUCUUCUAAAGCUAAAUAUUGGCCAGAGACCGAUAGCGCACAAGUAGAGUGAUCGAAAGAUGAAAAGCACUUUGAAAAGAGAGUUAAAAAGUACGUGAAAUUGUUGAAAGGGAAGCGUUUAUGACCAGACUUGGACUUGGUUAAUCAUCUGGGGUUCUCCCCAGUGCACUUUUCCAGUUCAGGCCAGCAUCAGUUUUCGCCGGGGGAUAAAGGCUUCGGGAAUGUAGCUCUCUUCGGGGAGUGUUAUAGCCCGUUGUGUAAUACCCUGGCGGAGACUGAGGUUCGCGCUUCUGCAAGGAUGCUGGCGUAAUGGUCAUCAACGACCCGUCUUGAAACACGGACCAAGGAGUCGUCUUCGUAUGCGAGUGUUCGGGUGUCAAACCCCUACGCGUAAUGAAAGUGAACGCAGGUGAGAGCUUCGGCGCAUCAUCGACCGAUCCUGAUGUUCUCGGAUGGAUUUGAGUAAGAGCAUACGGGGCCGGACCCGAAAGAAGGUGAACUAUGCCUGUAUAGGGUGAAGCCAGAGGAAACUCUGGUGGAGGCUCGCAGCGGUUCUGACGUGCAAAUCGAUCGUCAAAUAUGGGCAUGGGGGCGAAAGACUAAUCGAACCUUCUAGUAGCUGGUUUCCGCCGAAGUUUCCCUCAGGAUAGCAGUGUUGAACUCAGUUUUAUGAGGUAAAGCGAAUGAUUAGGGACUCGGGGGCGCUAUAUUGCCUUCAUCCAUUCUCAAACUUUAAAUAUGUAAGAAGCCCUUGUUGCUUAAUUGAACGUGGGCAUUCGAAUGUAUCAACACUAGUGGGCCAUUUUUGGUAAGCAGAACUGGCGAUGCGGGAUGAACCGAACGCGAGGUUAAGGUGCCAGAGUAGACGCUCAUCAGACACCACAAAAGGUGUUAGUACAUCUUGACAGCAGGACGGUGGCCAUGGAAGUCGGAAUCCGCUAAGGACUGUGUAACAACUCACCUGCCGAAUGUACUAGCCCUGAAAAUGGAUGGCGCUCAAGCGUCUCACCCAUACCUCGCCCUCAGGGUAGAAACGAUGCCCUGAGGAGUAGGCGGACGUGGAGGUCAGUGACGAAGCCUAGGGC